rnacentral:tRNA from 1 species
GGUCCCUUCGUCUAUCGGUUAGGACACAAGAUUCUCAAUCUUGGAAGAGGAGUUCAACUCUCCUAGGGACCG